GACGAACGCGUGGCGCGCGCCUAACACAUGCAAGUCGAACGGAGCGUUUGAGGAGCGUUGCUUUUAAAAGCUUAGUGGCGAACGGGUGAGUAACGCGUGAGUAACCUGCCCUGGAGUGGGGGACAACAGUUGGAAACAGCUGCUAAUACCGCAUAAUGCAACGAAAUCGCAUGACUUUGUUGCCAAAGAUUUAUCGCUCUGAGAUGGCCUCGCGUCUGAUUAGCUAGUUGGCGGGGUAACGGCCCACCAAGGCGACGAUCAGUAGCCGGACUGAGAGGUUGGCCGGCCACAUUGGGACUGAGACACGGCCCAG
rnacentral:rRNA from 1 species